UUUAGUUUAUUUUUAGGUGAAGGGAGUUGGAAACAUCACCUCGUAUUUCCAGCCCAGGACCCCAGCCCAUAGGAUGUUGUUGUCAUCGACAUUCAGGGGGACUCUUCCCUUUCCCAGUAAGAAUCUUUCCGAAAGCAUGCUCAUGGACACACCCAGAGAUGUGUUUCCAUGGCGACUACAUCCAGUCAAGCUGAUGAUGAAGAUAAACCAUCACACAGUCUACGGUACCAUGCGCAAUUUGAAGUGCUUCAUGGAGAUCCCCUCACUAACUUCCUGUCUCAACUGUACAAGGAAGAGAAAACCCUGUUACAUAGAGGAUAGAGUGAUUUAUGCAGACAGUUUAAAGGGUGUUUCACAGCUCUGUGGAAUGCAAGAGGCAGCAUGAUUUGAAGGUACAGUAUACUCAAGGGCCAGUGUGGAGUGCACCAAUGUUUUCCUUUCCUACUUUGAAGCAAGUUUCAAUCCAUUUCACUGACGAAACCGGUUAACCAUGUGCAAAUGUGUAGCUGCCGGAGCCGAUCAGCCUUCCCAAGGCUCCAUGGAAGCGGUGACUUCUCUCAGCACUUGGGGUCUGGUGUCGGAAUAAACUGGUCAAUACUGCCUUCUACAGAGCAAAUGUCUUCCUUUAGUUCUCACAUUUAAAGAUAUUGUAUUUUGGAGGGAGGGGAGACCAUGCCUUAAUUUUCCUUCAACUGGAAAUGAUCAUAAUAAAAUAUUUGCAUUGGAAAUCAUUUCUAUUUUAUAGAAAUUAAGUUUUCUCUUUUGGAAAUCACGGGUUUGGGGC